CCUACGGGUGGCAGCAGUGAGGAAUUUUGGUCAAUGGACGCAAGUCUGAACCAGCCAUGCCGCGUGCAGGAAGACGGCUCUAUGAGUUGUAAACUGCUUUUGUACGAGGGUAAACGCAGAUACGCGUAUCUGUCUGAAAGUAUCGUACGAAUAAGGAUCGGCUAACUCCGUGCCAGCAGCCGCGGUAAUACGGAGGAUUCAAGCUUUAUCCGGAUUUAUUGGGUUUAAAGGGUGCGUAGGCGGUCGGAUAAGUUGGAGGUGAAACCCCGAGGCUCAACUUCGGAACUGCCGCUGAUACUGUUCGGCUAGAGAGUAGGUGCGGUAGGCGGAAUGUAUGGUGUAGCAGUGAAAUGCUUAGAGAUCAUACAGAACACCGAUGGCGAAGGCGGCUUACCAAGCUACUUCUGACGUUGAGGCACGAAGGCGUGGGGAGCGAACGGGAUUAGAUACCCGAGUAGUC
rnacentral:rRNA from 1 species